AUUGAACGCUGGCGGCAUGCCUUACACAUGCAAGUCGAACGGCAGCACGGGAGCAAUCCUGGUGGCGAGUGGCGAACGGGUGAGUAAAGUAUCGGAACGUGCCCAGUCGUGGGGGAUAACGUAGCGAAAGUUACGCUAAUACCGCAUACGAUCUAUGGAUGAAAGCGGGGGAUCGCAAGACCUCGCGCGAUUGGAGCGGCCGAUAUCAGAUUAGGUAGUUGGUGGGGUAAAGACUCACCAAGCCGACGAUCUGUAGCUGGUCUGAGAGGACGACCAGCCAGACUGGGACUGAGACACGGACCAGAAUCCUACGGGAGGCAGCAGUGGGGAAUUUUGGACAAUGGGCGAAAGCCUGAUCCAGCCAUGCCGCGUGCAGGAUGAAGGCCUUCGGGUUGUAAACUGCUUUUGUACGGAACGAAAAGGUUUGGGCUAAUAAGCUGAGCUCAUGACGGUACCGUAAGAAUAAGCACCGGCUAACUACGUGCCAGCCGCCGCCGUAA
rnacentral:rRNA from 1 species